rnacentral:rRNA from 1 species
UACGAAGGGGGCUAGCGUUGUUCGGAAUUACUGGGCGUAAAGCGCACGUAGGCGGACAUUUAAGUCAGGGGUGAAAUCCCGGGGCUCAACCUCGGAACUGCCUUUGAUACUGGGUGUCUUGAGUAUGGAAGAGGUAAGUGGAAUUGCGAGUGUAGAGGUGAAAUUCGUAGAUAUUAGGAAGAACACCAGUGGCGAAGGCGGCUCACUGGUCCGGUACUGACGCUGAGGUGCGAAAGCGUGGGGAGCAAACAGG